GCUGCCGUAGUGCAGUGGCCAGCAUGCGACCUUCCCAUUUUUGUGGAUCAGAUCGCGACGUGGGUUCGAAUCCCGCCGGUAGCA